rnacentral:misc_RNA from 1 species
GAUGAAGAACGUAGCGAAAUGCGAUAAGUAGUGUGAAUUGCAGACUUUAGUGAAUCAUCGAAUCUUUGAACGCACAUUGCGCCCCUUGGUAUUCCAUGGGGCAUGCCUGUUCGAGCGUCAUUUGUACCUUCAAGCUUUGCUUGGUGUUGGGUGUUUGUCUCGCCUUUGCGUGUAGACUCGCCUUAAAAUAAUUGGCAGCCGGCGUAUUGAUUUCGGAGCGCAGUACAUCUCGCGCUUUGCACUCAUAACGACAGCGUCCAAAAGUACAUUUUACACUCUUGACCUCGGAUCAGGUAGGGAUACCCGCUGAACUUAAGCAUAUCAUAAGCGGAGGA